rnacentral:rRNA from 1 species
UACGUAGGCAGCAAGCGUUGUUCGGAGUUACUGGGCGUAAAGGGUGUGUAGGCGGUUGUUUAAGUUUGGUGUGAAAUCUCCCGCUCAACCGGGAGGGUGCGCCGAAUACUGAAUAACUAGAGUGCGGGAGAGGAAAGUGGAAUUCCUGGUGUAGCGGUGAAAUGCGCAGAUAUCAGGAGGAACACCUGUGGUGUAGACGGCUUUCUGGACCAUAGCUGACGCUGAGACACGAAAGCGUGGGUAGCAAACAGG